rnacentral:rRNA from 1 species
AAGCGCGCGUAGGUGGUUUGUUAAGUUGGAUGUGAAAGCCCCGGGCUCAACCUGGGAACUGCAUCCAAAACUGGCAAGCUAGAGUAUGGGUAGAGGGUGGUGGAAUUUCCUGUGUAGCGGUGAAAUGCGUAGAUAUAGGAAGGAACACCAGUGGCGAAGGCGACCACCUGGACUGAUACUGACACUGAGGUGCGAAAGCGUGGGGAGCAAACAGGAUUAGAUACCCGAGU